GAACGAGAGUCGCAGGCAGCUGGAGGAGAGGAGGAAGCAGCAGGAGGAGGACAGGAAACACAAAGACAGCAACAAGAUCACCAGGAAGGACGUGUCCAGGAAGGAUGUGUCCAGCCAGGACGAAGGCUGUAUCAUCGACAAGCUGCUGACUGAGAUCAAGAAGGGAAACCACCUGAAGAGGACCAGAGCCCCCCGGGGCAGCAUAGUCCACGAGCAUCCUGCAGGAUCAGAGCUCAUACUGGCGUCCUUGGUCGUUUCCAGCCAAUCAGGGAAGCCUGCAGAACCACUAGAGGCAGUUCAGAUCCCUUCAGAUCCACCGGCUGAAACAAGACCAGAACCAGGCUCAGCUGAACCCUCCUCUUCUACUGCUGCUGCAGACACUGAGCGCGUCCAGAUCCGGACCAGACUCGAGGACUCCAAGGCGGACUCUGUGGACCUAGAGACCAGAGACAGAGGUUCUGCAGGAGAGGAGGAGGUCCAGCUCAGACCAGAGGAGUCCGCAGAACACAAAGAGUCUGAGUUUGAAGAAGCGAGAACAACCGAACACAACGAGGAUUCAGAUUCUGAUCCAGACGAACCAGCGGAGAAGUCCAGGACCAGUCCAGCAGGAGCAGAUGUCAAACAUAAAGCUCACAGAAGAUGUGUGUCGCACUGAGGUGAACUGAGGAGGACUCGUCUGAUUGGCUGAUGAUGGGGACAGUUUACCUGAGCAAGGUGUGACGACGUUCAGGACGUUUUGUUUGAGUUGAUUUGUUGAUGAUUAUUAUGAUUAUAGUUACUAAAUGAAAUGUGUUGUACCUGUAGCAGUUAUUAAUGAUUAAUGGUUUUAGUCUUUGUGUCUAACGUUGCUCAGUUGUGAUGAUUCAAUUAAUCAGUUUAUUCAGAAAAUAAUUUGCGAAUCAAUA
rnacentral:lncRNA from 1 species